ACUGAAGUUACUAUUGAAGGAAUGAUUUUGUCCCCCUAAAAACAAGUGAAAGUCUGAGGGAUUAGUUCGGAGCGUGCGAGUGGUUCGCCAGUGAGUAGCCGCUGUUGACCGUCAUCCUCCGGCAGGUGAAAUCGAAGGCGUGCGCAGACUCCUUUAUGGCGGCGUCGUUUAGGUGGAUUUUACAACUUCACAAGGACGUCCCCAAAGCUGCUCGAUUCUACGCGGAAGGCUUGGACUUCACCGUCGACGUCUGCACUCUUCGUUGGGCUGAACUUCGAUCCGGUCCCCUCAAGCUUGCCCUAAUGUAUUCUCCCAGUAACCAUGGUUUGCAGGAGGGAUACUCCUCGCUGCUAUCAUUUACAGUUACUGACAUCAACAGCACAGUGACUAAAUUAAUGUCAUUAGGAGCUGAGCUAGAUGGUCCUAUAAAACAUGAGAUCCAUGGAAAGGUUGCCGCUAUGAGGUGUAUUGAUGGGCACGUUUUGGGCCUGUAUGAACCAGCAUAAGAUGGGACCUCUAUUAACACUAAAACUAAGGAUGGUAGCUUGAGCUCGUUUGGGGAGACAAAGAAAACUUGCAGCAUGUUAUUCUCCAUUUUUUUGGAUUCUCUGCAUUUGUGGCAAAGGCCAAAGCAUUGUUGUUCACUGGGUCGGCAAGGUGAUCAGCAAGGUUUUCCAGUGGGCUCUAUCCAGUCACAAUGGCCUGAACAAAGAAUCCAAACAUUGAGAACAUGGCCAAUCUGCCAUUCUUAAUCUCCUUCACCUUAAACUCAGCAAAAGCUUCUGGGUCAUCAGCCAAGCCCAAUGGAUCAAAGGUUCCACCUGGGUAGAGUGGGUCGGUCACCUCUCCAAGAGGCCCACCAGCAAUAUGGUAGCCCUCCACGGCAACCAUCAAGAUCACUUGGCAAGCCCAAAUUGCAAGGAUGCCAAGCCCAAGUAGUCAAGCCCACACUCUCUAAAGACCUGGGAUCCGGCCUUUAACCAUACAAAGAGUGCAGGGCAGACACAACCCAAAGCUCCAAGCAUGGCCCGCCUCACAUGGAUGACUUCAAGCUCACAGUUCCUAGCAAAGGUCUUUGGGUUAGCAGAGAGCCCAGCAGUGUCCCAAUGGUAGGCACCAGAGAACUCAACAAUCAAGUAGGAUGGGGGCAACUGGUGCCAGAAUGAGACAGAGGAUGGUCUUCACAUAGUUCGGGACUGUGUGUAUGCUCAGAGUGUUUGGAGGAAAUUGGUGCGUGCAAGCCUCUCAAUCUCAAGUGGUUACCGCCUCCUUAUGGGUGGGUAAAGAUGAAUGUAGAUGGGGCUAUGUCUCUAGUGGACCAUAAAGCUAGGUGUGGUGAUGUCUUAUGGGACCAUGAGGGCUACUAGAUAGCAGGCUUCUGUCAUGUUCUAGGAGCGUGCAGCGCCUACGAAGCAGAAGAAUGGGCUGUGCUAAGAAGUCUUAGGCUUCUUUGGGAUUUUGGUUUCAAGAAAGUGCUACCAGAAUCCGAUCGCAAGGAAUUGGUUGACCAAAUUCAUACAUCUACGGACAGUUCAAGGGUAGCAAUGUCCUUGCUGAGGUAACCAAUAUGCUUCAAUGGAGUUGGAAAGUCAAGGUUCAUUUUGUUAAGCGGGAACAAAGCCAAGUGGCAGACUUACUAAGGAAGGAAUUAUUUGUUCUUCUUCGUUUGAGGUUGCUCCUACGUUUUUAAGGAGUUUAGUUUCUUUGGAUAGUUUGGGAUCUCAAUCCCCUUCUUUGUAAUUUGCUUUAUAAUAUAUAGGGUAUAACCUUCUUUUCUACCAAAAAAAAAAAAACAAAA